UGGGGAAUUUUGGACAAUGGGCGAAAGCUUGAUCCAGCAAUGCCGCGUGUGUGAAGAAGGCCUUCGGGUUGUAAAGCACUUUUGUCCGGAAAGAAAUCCUUGGCUCUAAUACAGUCGGGGGAUGACGGUACCGGAAGAAUAAGCACCGGCUAACUACGUGCCAGCAGCCGCGGUAAUACGUAGGGUGCAAGCGUUAAUCGGAAUUACUGGGCGUAAAGCGUGCGCAGGCGGUUUGCUAAGACCGAUGUGAAAUCCCCGGGCUCAACCUGGGAACUGCAUUGGUGACUGGCAGGCUAGAGUAUGGCAGAGGGGGGUAGAAUUCCACGUGUAGCAGUGAAAUGCGUAGAGAUGUGGAGGAAUACCGAUGGCGAAGGCAGCCCCCUGGGCCAAUACUGACGCUCAUGCACGAAAGCGUGGGGAGCAAACAGGAUUAGAUACCCUGGUAGUCCACGCCCUAAACGAUGUCAACUAGUUGUUGGGGAUUCAUUUCCUUAGUAACGUAGCUAACGCGUGAAGUUGACCGCCUGGGGAGUACGGUCGCAAGAUUAAAACUCAAAUGAAUUGACGGGGUCAUAGCUGUUUCCU
rnacentral:rRNA from 1 species